AGUUUGCAGGCUGGCAAACAGGCUGGGAGAGCCCUUGAGAGACUCAGGCAGCUCAUGCCAUACUUCAGACUUCAUAGACCUGGGAGGCAUCCAGCUUUCUCCCCCAGAGAAGGCGCAGCCUGGUCCCUUCCCCUGCCACACCAUCUGGUCCACAGAAACGCCAGACUUCCGUGUCUCUCGGCCCUAUAAAAAGCAACAUUCCUUUUCCUGUCUUCUCUCCACCCGUCCCUCCCACCCGCCCCUGUCUCUUCUUUCUUUCUUAUCUCUGUCUCUUCCCUUCUCCUCUGCCAAUCACUUCCCUUCUUCUCAACACUCCUCCUCCAUCUCCCCUCUGCGCACCUGCAGUGCUAUUCUUUGUCCAACCAUGAAAACAUCCCUGAAGGGUUUCUAAAACAUUCGUAUGUCUGGAGGAGUUAGAGUCAGUCCUCCAGCACUGGGGUUGGCAAUUUCUGCCUCCUUAGCCUCCAAGACAGAUGAAGCAUUUAUUACGAGGCUUUGUGCGCCCUCUUGUGGUUUGUCCGUCAUGCCAACUCCAGCAGACAAUGGCUGCUUUGUCUAGGAGAGAAGUCGAUUUAGAUGACAACCUGGCUUAAACCCAUAAACCUUCGAUCUCUCCUUCUCCAAACUGUUUUUAUUAGAAGAAUGGAGGUGAAAAAUGAAAUCCUUAUGCACCGCGUUUCACGGCAAUGUUCACCUGGCCCAUGAAAAUCACAGGACAAAAAACCAGGACAACAAAAUCAGGAUGCAACAGGAUGAAGGGGCAGUGCCACAGAGAUACGGGUCAAAGCACAGAAAAGGAGUGGGCCCUGCUGUAGGAUGGUAAUGAGUCCAAUCCUGUGCAGCUCUUGUACAUAGAAGAGCAGCAGCUGUGAGCUCAGGAACAAAAGGACCACAUCAUGCCCAGAAGAAGUGCCCCAUGAUAGAUACUCCAUUCCUUCCUCAGACACCCACUCUGAAGAAGCAAGUUGGGUUUCACUGGCCUUGAGAACCAUUUGGAUUCUGGUGAUAACUGGGUCCUCCUGUUCCCAAGGUUACCCAUCAAGAGCUCACACUGCCCUUGUUUCUCACAUAUCAUUUGCUUGAUGGCCUAUGGGUAAUCUCAAAGCUCCUCCCUUCCUCUGGGAUCCACACUUCCUCAGGAGGAUCCAUGGAGAUAUACCUUCCUCUUCCCCAAAGAUCACAUACCUUUGUUGGGACAGAGGUGCAUCUUACUCCUGGGACACUGCCACUGUUCAAGACUUGUUUGGUCAGAGGACUGCACUGGACUCUACUUCUUCAGAAUGCUCUAGACCAAAGAGUAGCAAUAGCUUCCAUAUGCUUGAGUACCCAAAGUCUAGAGAAUUUAAGUCAGUUUUUCUAGACAGUUCUCUCCCUAUAGCUUAGCCUGGCUUGUUACACCUCUAACAAAGACAUCAUACACAUUCCCCCUUCUUGCAGGCACUCCAAUCUCUAGACACAACUUUCUCAGUGAUAAGGGGAGGAAUUAAGUUUAAAAUAUAUUAUAUGCAUGCAUAAAAACAUAAUAAGAAAAGCCAUCAUUUUGUACGACUGAAUAAAUUAAUGAGCACGUAAGUAAGAAAAGCAGGACUUCCUAGGUCCUUCUGCAACAUAUUUGACCCAAUAUCAGGAAAUCUUAAGGAAAUGAACUGGAAUAUUGUUUCAUUUUCCUGGAACACAUUUCAUGUUUCAAAAGUCUUAGAAUAUGGGCCAAAAUAAAGAUGGUUAUCUCCUUCUUAAUGAAGUUUUCAGAAAGAUUAUUUCCCAGAAAGUUUACAGGAAGAUGAAAAAGAACCGCUGUUCCUGUUCCAAUUGUCCUUCCAGACUUGCCUUGGUUGUCGCGUGAGUUUUGUAAUCAUCUCCCAUUGUCUGAGAGCCACAGUAUCUCAGCUUUACAAAAGGAAGCUUCAGAGAUACUCUGUUACAGCACAGGACACCUCCUCGACCAAAGAGAAGUUUCCUCUCCCUUGACUUGUCAGGGCUUUGUGUGCCAGGAUUGAUGGAGAACUCCUCAGGGGCAAGCUAGUGAAUAUGCAUGCAUAAUGGAGGCACUUCAUUAAUGGCUUAUGUAGGGGUGAAUUGUUUUACUAAUUUAGUUUGCUCAGUGACACGGGUCUAGUAAGGAAGUGAAACCACAGAACUUCCCCGCCCUCAAGAGAUGACCUAACAAAGUCCCGUCAAUGUUGCAUAAUGUGAUUGUAUCAUGUACCAAAUAUAAGCACACUGUGCUCAGCAUGGUGGUACACGCCGGAAAUCCCAGCUGAGACAGGUGGAGCAGCCUGUGCAACAAACACAGUGGAGCUCUUAAAAACAUCAAAAUAAAAUACACUGGAAAAAUAAAAGCCACAUUAAUCAU